UAGACUUGCCGCACUUUUGGUGCUCGCGCCCGCAUUCGAGCGGGCGCAGUCAAACGGGAAACAGGGAGCGAAGCCGCGCCGCGGCGAGCCAACCUGUGCUGCCCCCGCAACGGUAAGCGACCGCAACGCAAGUUGCAAGUCGUCCCGGACGCGUUCCGCCCGCCAAUGCGCUUCAUAUUUCAUCACCUGAAAUCUGGCGCGCGGCGAACGUGUCGAUGCCACUGCGCGAAUGCGCGGGAAGGCGGGGCGAUCUGUCGCCAGCCCGGAUACCGGCCAAUGGUAGCGCGCGUCG
rnacentral:ncRNA from 2 species